rnacentral:rRNA from 1 species
GACGAACGCUGGCGGCGUGCCUAACACAUGCAAGUCGAACGGAAAGGCCAUGAUCUUGCGGCGCGCUCGUGAGGCGAAGACGUGUGUAUAACGCGAGUAUCACCUCCCUAUCAUUGGGAUAUAACCUGGAAAAUGGGGCUCAUAUAGGAUAGGAGAUCCUGCUGCGCGGUGGGGAUUGGUGAGAUUCGGCGGUUGGGGCACGAAUAGAGGCAUCUCAGCCUGAUGGUGGGGUUGUGGCUUAACAAGGCUUUGAAGGCUAGCAGGCCUGAGCGGGUGACCGGCCACAUUGGGCCUGAGAGACGGCCAAGACUCCUACGUGAGGCAGCAGUGGGGAAUAUUGCACGAUGGGCGGAAGCCUGAUGCAUCAACGCCGCGUGCUGGAUAACGGCCUUCGGGUUGUAAACCGCUUUCGCCUGGGACGAAGCGUGGGUGACGGUAAUGGGUAAAAAAGCGCCGGCUAACUACGUG